AUUGAACGCUGGCGGCAGGCUUAAUACAUGCAAGUCGAGCGGUAGGUGGCUUCGGCCAUUGAGAGCGGCGCACGGGUGAGUAACGCGUACAUAACCUGCCUGUCAGAAGGGGAUAGCCCUGGGAAACUGGGAUUAAUACCCUAUGGUAUUGAUAUUAUGCAUGAUAUCAAUUACAGUUGAGGCGCUGACAGAUGGAUGUGCGUCUGAUUAGCUAGUUGGUAGGGUAACGGCCUACCGAGGCGACGAGCAGUAGGGGGCGUGAGAGCGUGGUCCCCCACACAGGUACUGAGACACGGACCCGACUCCUACGGGAGGCAGCAGUAAGGAAUAUUGGUCAAUGCCCGCAAGGGUGAACCAGCCAUUCCGCGUGGAAGAUGAAGGCCCUAUGGGUUGUAAACUUCUUUUAGAUGGGAAGAAAAUGCUAGAUGUAUCUGGUACUGACGGUACCAUCAGAAUAAGCACCGGCUAACUCCGUGCCAGCAGCCGCGGUAACAC
rnacentral:rRNA from 1 species